UACGAAGGGGCUAGCGUUGCUCGGAAUUACUAGGGCGUAAAGCGCACGUUAGGCGGAUUGUUAAGUCGGGGGUGAAAGUCCUGGAGCUCCAACUCCAGAACUGCCUUUGAUACUGGGAGGACUCGAGUCCGGGAGAGGUGGAGUGGAAACUUGCGAGUGUAGGAGGUGAAAAUUCGUAGAUAUUCGCAAGAACACCAGUGG
rnacentral:rRNA from 1 species